GGCUCGGUAGCUUAGUUAAUAAAGCGCUCGUCUAGCAUACAAGAGUCCUGGGUUCAAAUCCCAGCCGAGCAC
rfam:Aedes aegypti strain Liverpool supercont1.307 genomic scaffold, whole genome shotgun sequence.